rnacentral:rRNA from 1 species
ACGAGGCGCAGCAGGCGCGAAACCUCCGCAAUACACGAAAGUGUGACGGGGUUACCCAAAGUGUUCAAUUUUGAACUGUGGUAGGUGAGUAAUGUUCCCUACUAGAAAGGAGAGGGCAAGGCUGGUGCCAGCCGCCGCGGUAACAUGAGCCGUGUCAGUGCCGUAGGGAAACCGUUAAGU